rnacentral:lncRNA from 1 species
GAUGCUCUUACACAUGCACAUGCACACGCGUACACACACACACACACACACACACACACACACACACACACACACACACACACACACACACACACGACUAAUUAUUGUACAAUUAGCCAGGCUGUUUCCUUAGGCUGAUAACAUGCAGCUAUCUCCAGUGCUGUGGCUCAUUUAACUGUCACCGAUAAACUGUAUAACUCAGAAAGGCACUUAGAGAGCUCCUGUGCAGUGCCUUAUUUCCCUAUUAUGGCCUUAUUGCUAGGUUAUUACAUGUGUAUGCCUCACCACUCACUUUAACUUUCUCUCUUUCUGUCGUCCCGUCCCCCCCCCCUCUCUCUGUGUGUGUGCAGGAGGAGGAGAAUAACACCGACCAGUGCGGAGGACACAGCUCUGGAGAGGAGGCAGCCCUGCUGCUGCCUGAGACCACAGACACAGUCCUCAGUGACCUGGCUAAUACCUCUCAGUGGUAGAGAGCGGAGCUACAGGACCAAGUCAACAGCAUCACUGUCAGUGUGUUCUUUACUUUUAAUUCAGUAUUCAGCGCACACACACACAACACACACACACACACACACCACACACCACACACCACACAACACACACACACACCACACCACACUACAACUCACCUCUCGACAAAUGCUGUUAAUAUGCAAUUUGUCUACAUUUUUCUAUGAACUGCUUCCUUUGAUGUGUGACUUCUAGGCUGUUGUGCUGCACCUGCACAUAACAUGGUCCUAAGGAUGACAUAAUGCCUGUCAUAACAGGUCGUGACAGCUCAAAUCAUAGUUACGACCUCUCGUGGACGUUCUAAAGCGUGAAGCGCUUAAACAUUUAAGUCUUAGUUAGAUGUUUAAUAGUUUAUGUUUCACAACAGGGUUAUUUCGGUUGCAGGAGGAGUGAUGUUGGGAGCUUUACGACCGGCGUUAUGUCAUUUUUAUGACGCCGUUAUUAUGAGGCAUCAUGACAGCCACUGUAAUUAAGAUAUUUUGAGUGAAUGUAUCCGUCUCCUUUUUCAAAUCUAAAAGUUGAUUUGAACCCUUCCGUCGGUGCGACAACUUUAAACAUUUCAGACUACUGUAAUAAUAGUCAUUCAAACGUACUUAGACUUUUGUUUGAAGAAUCAUUGUAAAGUACAGAUAUGUAUAAUGUUUUUCCUCCUUAUAUUCAAAACCUGAGAUGUUAUAUUAUAAGCAUUUUCUGUUAUUCAUUAUUAGACAUUUAAAUUCCUGCUUUAUUAGGGGUGUUGUAGUACUAGUUGAAAGGAGACUCAAAGGUAGAGAGGCGUCCAAAAUGGGGGAGAACGGUUGAAAACGCUUCUGGUAAAGGGUGGCAGUUUGAGGGCAAUCAGGUCGGGGAGGGCGAUCAGGUCGGGGAGGGCAAUCAGGUUGAAUGUAGACUGGAAGAGACACUCUAGAAAGGUGGUUGCUACUAAUUAGGGCGAGAGGAAUGACAUUUUGAUGGUCUCUCAUGUUUGUUUUGUUGCACAAUAUAUUUGACUUCCAAUAUUCUAUCCUCCGCAACAUACAGCUAUUGCUCCUGCAUGCUGGUAGCUGUAGAGCCACUGCAAUACUUUUGUAUUUGAUACCAGAUGUCAAUCUUAAAGCGGGGUGUUGUUUUAAAACAAGAAUAAUGUGUGUUUAGAACGUCCCAGAAGAUCAUUAGUAAUGCGCUAGAUUCACUGUGCGCGGUAUACAGAAACGACCUGCUUCAGAGGGACGAAGCCAUUUUAAAUUUGUACCUAAAAGAACAAAUUGGUAAACGAAGGAAUUUCAUCAUAACAUCAUCUAAUUUAUGGACACCGACGUUGCAAUACUUGUAAUGGGGUGUUGUUCCUAUAGCUCAUGGAAGUCUGGCCUGGACUAGAUUACUACUGGGUCAAUAAAUACAUUUUUCAUGAUUUUCUACCAAUACUCCGCUUGUGUUAUAUCGUAAUGAAAUGAUAUGAAGUUUUAGUUUAAGCUACAGAGUUGAUACGUGUAAUAAGAAGAGAAUACUAAAGCCAGGGUUUAAAAGCGAAGGUAGAAUAAUGCGCUAGGGGCAACUUUGCUUGGCCGAUAUGUAAUUGGCUGCACUCUGUUAUUUUGCUAUAGGAGAUGUUUUGGCAACGGAACGUUGCUCUUCGUUCGACACGGCGACGCUCGUCAUUCAUCCUGUUUUGUGUCAUGUCGUCUCUCAUCCACAAUCAUUACCAUCGUGUGUUGUAUUUCCUCAUCGUUUUUUUAAGACUCGUUUCUUUUUUCUUUCCCCCUGAUUUUUCUGUCUGAGGGUCAAUUGAACUGUAUUAUCUAUCACGACUGUCCCGGUAAGGGUUGAAGAGUUCGUCCAAAGGGUCGAGGUGUUGGUGCCACUAUACAGGACAACAGUUUGCUCACACAUGGGUUGUAAAAAGCCAUAGUGAAAAAGUGUGACGUCUGUAACAUUACAACCCAGUCCGUCAUAAUAACAACUUUGUCAGCGCCGACGGACAUCCUGCUCAGUUGAAGGUUGUGCUUCAAUACGUUUUGGAGUACCCUCGUCUCUGCACCUGUUGAGCUAUACCUGUGGUGUAGUUUAGUACUACACAUCUGUUUGCCACCCUGGGUGUGAGUGAUUUUGACGCCCUGGCAUGUGCACCAAAUGUUCCGUAGCACUGAGAUCGACGGGUGUUUUGUCGUCGUCAGAUCUAGACCUCCGUGGGAAGUUCUAUGUCUACGUCUACUGUGAGCUACGUGGGUGUGUAGUGUAACUUCUAUUCAGGACAGCUGCCUACUCCCAUUGCAAUAAGGCUCCCAGUGGUUUUCUGGUGUGUAUGUUUGUUUGUUGAGGUCAUCUUACUUAUGGGAAAAAAAAAAAAAAGUAGUUCUUGGUAAAUACUAUAUACUGUCUGUUUGUGUGGGUUUCUGUAAUAAAAUAAACAUGUAUGUGUAUCAAUUGUGUGUGAUGUGUUUGUCUUUUGAUGGAAGAUAAAUGUUUUUUACAAAAAAAUUCUGCUGCUUCCUCCGGGGCGUGACAUUUCUGAUGCUAAUUUGCUCGUUACACGUGUCUCAUCUCUCCGUCUGCAUUUCGGUUCUUACCCUCCUGCUCCUCUUUACCUGCAGUUCUCUCUCCUUCUACCCCCCCCCCCCCCACCAUCACUCCACUCCCCCCGUUCAAGUCUAGGUGAGUAGCUAAUUAUAAAAUCAAUGAUGCCAGGCUGGCCUGGUUUACGGCCUGCUCUAAAACCUUAACUGGGAAAUCACUGGUGGAUUAAUGCCUCCCUCACUCUUUAUCGCUUUUAAUUAGAAAUGUAAAAGAUAUGAAGAGCCAGAGGCUAGAACACAUCUCCGAUGAGAUGAGGCCAAAUGGUACCCUAUUCCCUAUGUAGUGCACUACUUUUGACCAGGCCUCUGUAGGGAAUGGAGUGCAAUUUGGGACGUACCCCCACAUCUCUCAUAUGACCUCUGCCACCCUAGCCUGUCAGCCCCUUUUUUCUCUUCCUCUGCUCUCCCCUUUCUUGUUUAUUUAUUUCCCCCAUUGUAUCCCCCCGUUCCUUCUAGCAGACCCUCCUCACUCUGGUAUGUGGUACCUUCGUUUCUUGAAUAGCUCCUUGCCAACUUGUAGCGUUGUCCUCUAACCAAAUCAGUCCCCUCCUUGCAGCAAAGGGCUCUGGCCCCCUUCCCUCCUCCUCUCUCUCUAUCUUUCUCCCUGUCUGUCUUGUCUGUUAAAUUUAUGAUCCCUACAUCUUCAAAUGUUUCUCACCUUCCCCUAACCUUCCCUCCUCACUUUUUUCCCCCCUUUUGAUUGCUCCCUACCCACUCUGCAUCCGCUGCGUAUGUAAUGUAACGAAAGGAUGCCGAUUAUGUCCCCGUCUCCUUCCUCCGGGCCAGCCGUGAUAGGCUACAGUCUUUCCCAUAAUCACCCCAUCCCCUCCUAGCAUAUGACAUGUCCCUUACCACCCUUUUACUAUGGCUCCAGGACGUCCGCAUAGCCCCUGAAUGUUUUAUCACACACUCUGAUCUGACUCUCCAUUCCUUCUAGCUAGUCUUGUCUGGUGAUGUAAACAGUGCUACCAGUGUUCUGUCCUCCCAGGCCGGUGUUGCAGACAGCGCUACCAGUGUUCUGUCCUCUCAGGCCAGCUCCCAUACACUGUAUGUAAGGCAUGACGACGAUAGAAGAGUUGGCUACAGAACGGGACCAGCCUACUCUCUGAGAAAGCUGGUAGCCACUAGCCACGUGAUCUUAACUCGCCGAGCAAGCACGUCUAGAAAUCAAUGCAAAAUUGCCCAUGUUCAGAACAAGCACAAGCAAACCCUGUUCUUGGUUUACUCUAUUCAGACCAGUUCCUGUAUGGUUCACGAAGGAUGAUUCAUUAUUGAUUCUCUACCAGGACUUCUGAGUGAUCAGUAUGCUCUCCGGGUAAUAGAAGGAAACUGCUAACCUCCGUCCUGGGGUKGACUGGCAUUCUCCCUUCUGGCGAUCCUUGUAGCUUCUUAUUCGCCCGAUCCCUCUUACUUUUCACUUGUAUACUUCCUUGUAAACUUGUCGUUGCUUUGCGCCAUUAAUAACCUGGAGAGGAUAUCUGCUCCAACCAUCAAUUGACUGAUCAUGGCUAGUAUAAUUGGAAAUUGUGGCGAUGAAACCCUGCAAAAAAUACCAGCCUGCCUCUUUAAAUCCCCUUACUACCCCAACACUCCUACCCAUUGCCCCAGGGUUCCCAUAGCAACGUGUUAUUGGGGUUGAAUAUAUGAGGCCGUUUAGCUUCAGUCCGUGUAAAGCAGCUAAUAAUAUAUGGACCUUAUUCUAAUCCCCAGUCCCUCUUUAUUGAGCUGUAUUUUUAACGAUAGUUAAUUAUGGCAAUCAUAUAGUUGAUAGAACCCCCAUCUCUGUUUAGCACUCUUCACUCUAGUGUCUACGUCUAUUAAUAACAACAACCGUCGAGGCUAUAAUACACUGAGUGUACAAAAUAUUAAGAACACCUUCCUAAUAUUGAGUUGCCCCACAGGGAUGCUGGCCCGUGGUGACUCCAAUGCUUCCCACAGUUUGUGUCAAGUUGGCUGGAUGUCCUGUUGGGUGGUGGACCGGUCUUGUACGCA